rnacentral:lncRNA from 1 species
UCAGGAUAAGGUUUAUAAAAGGACAAGCUGAAAUUGUCGAUGCAGCCCCCCUCAUUAGUCGCAAAUGAAAGAGAACAAGGCUGCUACUUUUGUUUUAUUGUCCUAAAAAUAUCUUCUAUUACUCUAAAAUAAAGCCUGAGAUAUUUUAUUGGCAUUUUGCAUUUUACAUUAUUAUACAAGUCAUUCUAAUGAUAUGUGUUGCAAUGUAAACAUAUAUGAUAUUUACGUGUGCAAAGUGAAUGUCCUUUCUUUAUUCUUAUGGGUAAAUUAAAAUCUUGAUUGAAUAAUUU